UGUUGCUCCUCGUGCGGUUCUCCUUUGUUUGUUCUUGUCAAGCUGCUGCUGGUGGGGGUGCGUGUUCAUCUGACUUUCUGAGUAGGACGCGCAAGAACCACUCGAUUCGAGAGCUUGGUGGUCACAUAGCUCACGCCUCUUGGUUUAGCGCUGCCCAUGGGGCAUGGGCGAGUUCUUGCCGGUAUGGAGUAGCUGGGCAGGGCUUUGAUUCUUUAGCACAGCGCAAAACCCUGCUCAAAGGGGGUACAUGAUUUUGCUCCUUUGUUGGUCAGUUCAUGAGCUGAUCCAAUUGCGACCACCGGCACACCACCUUGCUUCAGCUGAAGAGCCUUAGCCCACAGAAUUACGCUCCCAAUUCAGUCGGUCAGACAAUUGUACCGAGGUAUGCUUAUGUGCUUACGUGCUUUAGAUUUUCGUUCAGACUUGAGACUGAUGUGCUAGUAAACUACUUGUAUUUUGUCAUGUUUAAUUGAUCUUGGUGAGAUGCAGUUUAAUUGACAUGAGAGCAAGCCAAAUAUGACCCGUACAUUAUUGGUCUUGCUAAUUUCAGUUCUGUUCAAUCUCGUGAUUGUGGAGUGAUAAUGUUUCUGACUGAAUUGGAAGGCAGAGAUCCAAGUAGGCGCCCUGGAGGAGGAAAGGAAUCGUCGGCUGCAUUGUGGUGUAGGCUUGUUGGGAUUGUCACCCUGAUGUGCUUCGCUGUAGAUGCAUGAUUGUCUAGUUUAUUUUUUAGCUCAUCAAGACUCUGGUCAUAUGUUGCCAGUACCAUGCACCAGUUACCCAAGCUAAUGUAAUUCUGUGUGAAUGUUCACUUUUGAGAAUCAGAUGUUACAUGUGGAGCCUGAAUUUCUGUUCUGAUGAGUGGUUUGCUGAAUUGCAUGAAUGUUCGGUUCUUAGUGAA